GGGCGUGUGGCGCAGCGGUUAGCGCGUCUGCUUUGCAUGUUCAAUAGUAGUUGCGGAAGCCAUUACAUACUUGCAGAAGGCCAAGGGUUCAAAUCCCUUCUCGUCCA